ACGGAAUUUACUUCAAGAGUCAUGGAAUCCAAGGGCAAACAAGGAGAGCUUUGCCGGCUCUGCAGUUGAGAUUCUACGAAUAGUGGAUGAGACAAUAGAUGCUUUCUUCCAGCUGCCCAUACCAAUGCACCCUGCCUUGCUUCCAGACUUGAUAACUGGACUCGAUAGAAGCUUGGUACAUUAUGUAUCCAAGGCAAAGUCUGGCUGCGGGACCAAAAAUACUUAUAUUCCUGCGAUGCCAGCCCUAACCAGAUGUGAGAUUGGCUCAAAGUUGUUCAGGAAAAAGGAGAAACCACAGACUUUACAGAGAAGGA
rnacentral:misc_RNA from 1 species